rnacentral:rRNA from 1 species
UCCCGAGCGUUNUCCGGAUUUAUUGGGCGUAAAGCGAGCGCAGGCGGUUAGAUAAGUNUGAAGUUAAAGGCUGUGGCUUANCCAUAGUACGCUUUGGAAACUGUUUAACUUGAGUGCAAAAGGGGAGAGUGGAAUUCCAUGUGUAGCGGUGAAAUGCGUAGAUAUAUGGAGGAACACCGGUGGCGAAAGCGGCUCUCUGGUCUGUAACUGACGCUGAGGCUCGAAAGCGUGGGGAGCGAACAGGAUUAGAUACCCUGGUAGUNCACGCCGUAAACGAUGAGUGCUAGGUGUUAGGCCCUUUCCGGGGCUUAGUGCCGCAGCUAACGCAUUAAGCACUCCGCCUGGGGAGUACGACCGCAAGGUUGAAACUCAAAGGAAAUGACGGGGGCCCGCACAAGCGGUGGAGCAUGUGGUUUAAUUCGAAGCAACGCGAAGAACCUUACCAGGUCUUGACAUCCCGAUGCCCGCUCUAGAGAUAGAGUUUUACUUCGGUACAUCGGUGACAGGUGGUGCAUGGUUGUCGUCAGCUCGUGUCGUGAGAUGUUGGGUUAAGUCCCGCAACGAGCGCAACCCUUAUUGUUAGUUGCCAUCAUUCAGUUGGGCACUCUAGCGAGACUGCCGGUAAUAAACCGGAGGAAGGUGGGGAUGACGUCAAAUCAUCAUGCCCCUUAUGACCUGGGCUACACACGUGCUACAAUGGCUGGUACAACGAGUCGCAAGUCGGUGACGGCAAGCUAAUCUCUUAAAGCCAGUCUCAGUUCGGAUUGUAGGCUGCAACUCGCCUACAUGAAGUCGGAAUCGCUAGUAAUCGCGGAUCAGCACGCCGCGGUGAAUACGUUCCCGGGCCUUGUACACACCGCCCGUCACACCACGAGAGUUUGUAACACCCGAAGUCGGUGAGGUAACCUUUUAG